rnacentral:rRNA from 1 species
CAUUUGUUCCCUAAAUAGGGACUUGUAUGAACGGCCACACGAGGGUUUUACUGUCUCUUACUUCCAAUCAGUGAAAUUGACCUUCCCGUGAAGAGGCGGGAAUAUACAAAUAAGACGAGAAGACCCUAUGGAGCUUUAACUAACUAGCCCAAAGAAAAUUAGACUUAACCACUAAGGGAUAACAAAAUUCUUCAUGGACUAGCAGUUUUGGUUGGGGUGACCUCGGAGAAUAAAAAAUCCUCCGAGCGAUUUUAAAGACUAGACCUACAAGUCGAAUCAAACUAUCGCUUAUUGAUCCAAAAUUUUGAUCAACGGAACAAGUUACCCUAGGGAUAACAGCGCA